rnacentral:rRNA from 1 species
AAGUGGGAGACCGCAAGGCCUCACGCUCUGGGAGCGGCCGAUGUCGGAUUAGCUAGUUGGUGGGGUAAAAGCCUACCAAGGCGACGAUCCGUAGCGGGUCUGAGAGGAUGAUCCGCCACACUGGGACUGAGACACGGCCCAGACUCCUACGGGAGGCAGCAGUGGGGAAUUUUGGACAAUGGGCGGAAGCCUGAUCCAGCCAUGCCGCGUGAGUGAAGAAGGCCUUCGGGUUGUAAAGCUCUUUCGGUGGGGAAGAAAUUGCACGGGUUAAUACCCUGUGUAGAUGACGGUACCCGACUAAGAAGCACCGGCUAACUACGUG